UACGUAGGGUGCAAGCGUUAAUCGGAAUUACUGGGCGUAAAGCGCACGUAGGCGGAUCUUUAAGUCAGGGGUGAAAUCCUGGAGCUCAACUCCAGAACUGCCUUUGAUACUGGGGAUCUCGAGUCCGGAAGAGGUGAGUGGAACUCCGAGUGUAGAGGUGAAAUUCGUAGAUAUUCGGAGGAACACCAGUGGCGAAGGCGGCUCACUGGUCCGGUACUGACGCUGAGGUGCGAAAGCGUGGGGAGCAAACAGG
rnacentral:rRNA from 1 species